rnacentral:rRNA from 1 species
UGCCCAAGAGAUCGGGAUAACACCUGGAAACAGAUGCUAAUACCGGAUAACAACAGAUGAUGCCUAUCAACUGUUUAAAAGAUGGUUCUGCUAUCACUCUUGGAUGGACCUGCGGUGCAUUAGCUAGUUGGUAGGGUAACGGCCUACCAAGGCGAUGAUGCAUAGCCGAGUUGAGAGACUGAUCGGCCACAUUGGGACUGAGACACGGCCCAAACUCCUACAGGAGGCAGCAGUC